CAGGGACGCCGGAACUGGGGGGGGGGGGCAGGAGGGGCAGCUGCCCCUCUUGCCUUUUGCUAGGAGGGGCAAGAGGGGCAGAAGUGCCCUUUGAGUUAUAAAAUACUACCUGAUAAAUCACAUUUCCAGUGAUGCUUUUUGGGCAAAAUCAUGAGGUGUGAUCUUGAAUGUGACCUGAUUAAGUGCGUUUGCUUUCAUAUAUUG